rnacentral:misc_RNA from 1 species
UACGUAGGGGGCGAGCGUUGUCCGGAUUCAUUGGGCGUAAAGGGCGCGUAGGCGGCCUGGUGCGUCGCGCGUGAAAUCUCCCGGCUCAACUGGGAGGGGUCGUGCGAUACGGCUAGGCUGGAGGCUGGCAGGGGGCAGCGGAAUUCCCGGUGUAGUGGUGGAAUGCGUAGAGAUCGGGAGGAACACCAGUGGCGAAGGCGGCUGCCUGGACCAAGCCUGACGCUGAGGCGCGAAAGCGUGGGGAGCGAUCCGG